rnacentral:lncRNA from 1 species
AGAUACCAAGAUUUGCAUGUCGCUACUUAGUAUGUCAUAGUAAACUAAUUCAAGUCUGAAAGCUAUUACAUGUUUCUUUUGUCAAUCCUCGGGCCUGUUUACAUGGAGAGGUGGCGAAUACAAUGUACCGUAAAUGGUAUGAUCCUUGUGCAAAGUAGGACUGAGAAGAGGUGGUACAAAUGCAUGUAGAUACCAAGACUUGCAUGAUUCCCAAUAUUAUUGCAAUUCGGUAGCAAAGAUGUUGACACCACAUGUCGUCUGAUGAUGAGUUUUACAGGAUCGAAUAAGGUUUGGUCAUUGUAUUCCCUGAAAGGAACAAAAGGAGAAAAGAAACUGGAAGACCUGCAUGCCUAUCCGCAGGCCAAUGCUGGCUGCAGAUCAAUAUUGAAUGCUCUUAUGAAAACUCAUAAGACAGUAACAAAAAAAGGAAGCUGAGGAUGCUGUUUUUAAAACAUGUUCCAUUCAAAAAUGGUGGAUUGAAAUUUAAGAAAGGUGUGACGGGUGCGGCUACUGCAGGCAGGGAGGAUUUGACGGUCAGCCAGAGGAUUUGGAGAUAUACUGUAAUGUCUUUAAUGUGGACUUGCGUGUGAUUUAAGUUUUCACAAGGGUUUUAGUGUGUGUGAAAGUAUGUCAGUUUUCAAAAUUGAGCUAUGACAGUUUGCUCAAACUACAUAACUCAAAGAACUUUGAAGCGGUCUUGUUGGCGUCAUGAGCUUUUGUUUAAUACCAGUAUUGGUGAUAUAGGCCCAUGAUUAUAUACUGUAGAAAGUGAACAAGUUCACUGCUCGAUACAGAUAAUCAUAUGGCCUGAUCUCUGAAUGAUAUUUAUGAACUAAAAGAAGGCAUACAAUAAAAACAUACUGUAGUGAUUUAAAUUAUUGAUAUUGUUAAACUAGAUCUGGGCCUGUAUUCAUAAAGGAUCUUAGUAAAAAAAAUUAUCUAUAACUUAAUAUUCUUCAAUUAACUCAAAAACUUUUCACGCUCUUUAAAUAUUUCACA